rnacentral:rRNA from 1 species
GAUGAACGCUGGCGGCGUGCCUAAUACAUGCAAGUCGAGCGAACAGACGAGGAGCUUGCUCCUCUGACGUUAGCGGCGGACGGGUGAGUAACACGUGGAUAACCUACCUAUAAGACUGGGAUAACUUCGGGAAACCGGAGCUAAUACCGGAUAAUAUAUUGAACCGCAUGGUUCAAUAGUGAAAGACGGUUUUGCUGUCACUUAUAGAUGGAUCCGCGCCGCAUUAGCUAGUUGGUAAGGUAACGGCUUACCAAGGCAACGAUGCGUAGCCGACCUGAGAGGGUGAUGGGCCACACUGGAACUGAGACACGGUCCAGACUCCUACGGGAGGCAGAAGUAGGGAAUCUUCCGCAAUGGGCGAAAGCCUGACGGAGCAACGCCGCGUGAGUGAUGAAGGUCUUCGGAUCGUAAAACUCUGUUAUUAGGGAAGAACAAAUGUGUAAGUAACUAUGCACGUCUUGACGGUACCUAAUCAGAAAGCCACGGCUAACUACGUG